rnacentral:rRNA from 1 species
ACGCUCGACACCUACGGGAGCAGCAGUCGGGAAUAUUGCGCAAUGGAGGAAACUCUGACGCAGUGACGCCGCGUAUAGGAAGAAGGUUUUCGGAUUGUAAACUAUUGUCGUUAGGGAAGAAAAAGGACAGUACCUAAGGAGGAAGCUCCGGCUAACUACGUGCCAGAGCCGCGGUAAUCUGAGCGGGCUGGCAAGGC